rnacentral:rRNA from 1 species
GACGAACGCUGGCGGCGUGCUUAACACAUGCAAGUCGAACGGGCUCUGUCUGGCUGUGUGCUGGGUGGGGUUAGUGGCGAACGGGUGAGUAAUACGUGAGUAACCUGCCCUCUUCUUUGGGAUAAGCCUUGGAAACGGGGUCUAAUACUGGAUAUUCCUGUCUGGUCGCAUGGCUGGGUGGGGAAAGUUUUUUUCGGUGGGGGAUGGGCUCGCGGCCCAUCAGCUUGUUGGUGGGGUGAUGGCCUACCAAGGCGUCGACGGGUAGCCGGCCUGAGAGGGUGACCGGCCACACUGGGACUGAGAUACGGCCCAGACUCCUACGGGAGGCAGCAGUGGGGGAUAUUGCACAAUGGGCGCAAGCCUGAUGCAGCGACGCCGCGUGGGGGAUGACGGCUUUCGGGUUGUAAACCUCUUUCGUCGGGGGACAAGGCUCUGCUUGGUGGUGGGGUUGAGGGUACCCGGUGAAGAAGCGCCGGCUAACUACGUG